rnacentral:rRNA from 1 species
AACGAACGCUGGCGGCAUGCCUAACACAUGCAAGUCGAACGAUACCUUCGGGUCUAGUGGCGCACGGGUGCGUAACGCGUGGGAACCUGCCCUUAGGUUCGGAAUAACUCCCCGAAAGGGGUGCUAAUACCGGAUAAUUUCUUCGUACCAAAGAUUUAUCGCCUUUGGAUGGGCCCGCGUUGGAUUAGCUAGUUGGUAGGGUAAAAGCCUACCAAGGCGACGAUCCAUAGCUGGUCUGAGAGGAUGAUCAGCCACACUGGGACUGAGACACGGCCCAGACUCCUACGGGAGGCAGCAGUGGGGAAUAUUGGACAAUGGGCGAAAGCCUGAUCCAGCAAUGCCGCGUGAGUGAUGAAGGCAUUAGGGUUGUAAAGCUCUUUUAACCGGGAUGAUAAUGACAGUACCGGGAGAAUAAGCUCCGGCUAACUCCGUG